UACGGAGGGGGCGAGCGUUGUCCGGAAUCACUGGGCGUAAAGGGCGCGUAGGCGGCGCGGGUAGUCAGCGGUGAAAGUUCAGGGCUCAACUCUGAAUCGGCCGGUGAUACUCCCGUGCUCGAGCACUGUAGAGGCAGGUGGAAUUCCGGGUGUAGCGGUGGAAUGCGUAGAGAUCCGGAAGAACACCGGUGGCGAAGGCGGCCUGCUGGGCAGUAGCUGACGCUGAUGCGCGACAGCGUGGGGAGCAAACAGG
rnacentral:rRNA from 1 species